rnacentral:ncRNA from 1 species
GAUCCGUAACUUCGGGAAAAGGAUUGGCUCUGAGGGCUGGGCACGGGGGUCCCAGUCCCGAACCCGUCGGCUGUCGGUGGACUGCUCGAGCUGCUCCCGCGGCGAGAGCGGGUCGCCGCGUGCCGGCCGGGGGACGGACUGGGAACGGUUCCUUCGGGGGCCUUCCCCGGGCGUCGAACAGCCAACUCAGAACUGGUAC